rnacentral:lncRNA from 1 species
UGCCUGCUGAUCCAGUUGCAUGAAUAAUUGGUCAGCUCUUUCCAACUUGCCAGAAGCAACUUAGCCAUCUCGCUGGGCAGCCUGCAACCCCUGGCAAUUUCUGCAGCCCUGGCGUUUCUGCCUGGAGUCCACCGAUUUUCCAUCUUGGGGCGGAGGACAGUCUUCAUUUUUACAGUGGAUUCUUCCUGGCAUACCCCCCUCAUCAGUUGGGGAGCACCUGUGUCCUGGAUCAACUCGGAAGGCAAAAUGUAUCAGGUUGUAUUGGGGCAAGACAGGGUGACCCAUCUGUCUGCGUGGGACCCUCCACCCCCACUUCCACUGGCUGCCCAGACCAGCAAGACGUCCACCAAGUUCAAGUUCCCUCUUAGAAAACUAGAGAGAGCCCAAUCAAGGCUGAUGGGAAGGAGCCAGGCCCGCAGCCCUCAGCCGGGCACCUGGUGGCCUGGGCGGAGAUGACACUGGAGUGGAGCCAAGACAAGGAGGCGGGCCAAGUGCCUCAGUGGCGGAAGCAUUGGGGGAGAGAAGGUAUUUAUAAGAGACGAAAAAAGUGAAGCAAGCGGACAGGUAGAGACCUGAGAUCCCUUCCACCUCCAGAUCCUGUUUCCCGACCCACCCAAGAAGGACCUACCU